GUCUUUAAAGUUAAAAGAUUUGGCGGUAUUUUAGUCUGUUCAGAGGAACCUGUCUCUUAAUCGAUAGUCCACGAUUAGCUUUACUUUGGUUAUAAAAUUUAUAUAUCGUUGUUUAUAAAAAUUUCAGGAUAUAAUUUUUUCAGAUCAAGGUGUAGUUUAUACUAGAGUUGGGGUGGGUUACAUUUAAUGGCUGGAAUAAAUUGGAUUUGAUAGUAAGCUCUAAAAUAUGCACAUAUCGCCCGUCGCUUUCAUUUUAAUGUGAAAUAAGUCGUAACAAAGUAGGCUUAUUGGAAAAUGGGCCUGGAAUGCAAAUUAGAGCUUGUUAAGCGUUUUAUUUACACUAAAAAGUUAAUUGUGAGAUUCAAUUUAAUUUGAGCUUAUUUUGUUAUUGAGUGUUUUUUUUUCUUUUUUUUGUAGGAAGGAUAUUGUUUUUUAUUUUUUGUUUGAAAAAAUUUUAUGAUAGUGAAUAGUAUAGUGAUGGGAAUAGUUUCAGCUUUAAUAAGAAGACUUUAUUUGUCGUACCUUGUGUAUCAGGGUUUAUUUAUUUGGGCUUCCCGGUUUCAUAAGAGUUAUUAUUAAUGUGGAAUAAUUACUUAGAAUUUAAGCAUGGAAAUGAAAUGUUAUUCGCUUUUGAAGGUAUCUGGUUUCCUAAGAAAUUAAUUUAAUUAAGAGGGCGGGGUCUGUUUGGGUGGGGGAUAAGCUCCUGAAUAAAUUAAUAUAAGAUAUUUUAUUUUAAGUUUUUAUAGGAUUAGAAUUUUUCACUGGUUUUAGUAUGUUAUAGUUAGUUUAUUUUUUUAUUAGGAUUUUUUCUUUUAUUUUAUAUGCUUUGUGAUUAUGGUGGAAUUAGUAAGGUAAAUUGAAGGAACUCGGCAAGCAGAGUUUUCACCUGUUUAAUAAAAACAUGUCUUUUUGUUAAUGAUUUAAGGUCGGGCCUGCCCAAUGAUUAAAUGGCCGCAGUAUUUUGACUGUGCAAAGGUAGCAUAAUCAUUAGUUUCUUAAUUAGGAGCUGGAAUGAAAGGUUUGAUGAGGGACUAACUGUCUCUAUAAUUUUAUUUUUUAGUAAGAAAGCUUAAAUAUUAUAGAAAGACGAGAAGACCCUAUAGAGUUUUUUUGUUGGGGUGACAUAAAAAUUUAGUUAACUUUUUAUUUGUGCGGGAAGUUGAUCCUGGAUUAUAAGAU
rnacentral:rRNA from 1 species